rnacentral:rRNA from 1 species
AAUAGAUACCCCGGUAGUCCACGCCGUAAACGAUGAGUGCUAAGUGUUGGGGGGUUUCCGCCCCUCAGUGCUGCAGCUAACGCAUUAAGCACUCCGCCUGGGGAGUACGGUCGCAAGACUGAAACUCAAAGGAAUUGACGGGGGCCCGCACAAGCGGUGGAGCAUGUGGUUUAAUUCGAAGCAACGCGAAGAACCUUACCAGGUCUUGACAUCCCGGUGACCACUAUGGAGACAUAGUUUCCCCUUCGGGGGCAACGGUGACAGGUGGUGCAUGGUUGUCGUCAGCUCGUGUCGUGAGAUGUUGGGUUAAGUCCCGCAACGAGCGCAACCCUUAUUCUUAGUUGCCAUCAUUCAGUUGGGCACUCUAAGGAGACUGCCGGUGAUAAACCGGAGGAAGGUGGGGAUGACGUCAAAUCAUCAUGCCCCUUAUGACCUGGGCUACACACGUGCUACAAUGGACGGUACAAACGGUUGCCAACCCGCGAGGGGAGCUAAUCCGAUAAAACCGUUCUCAGUUCGGAUUGUAGGCUGCAACUCGCCUAC